rnacentral:rRNA from 1 species
UACGAAGGGGGCUAGCGUUGUUCGGAAUUACUGGGCGUAAAGCGCACGUAGGCGGAUACUUAAGUUAGGGGUGAAAUCCCAGAGCUCAACUCUGGAACUGCCUUUAAUACUGGGUAUCUCGAGUCCGGAAGAGGAAAGUGGAAUUCCUGGUGUAGCGGUGAAAUGCGCAGAUAUCGGGAGGAACACCAACGGCGAAGGCAGCUUGCUGGGACGGUACUGACGCUGAGAUGCGAAAGCGUGGGGAGCAAACAGG